CUCAGUCUUUGAAUUUUACUUCAUGUUGGAGAGUAACAUGAUCCUACCAAUAAGUUAUUUUCCUGCUCCUGGCGUUUACGCGAGUUUAGUUUUAGAUGCAGCUUGGUGGGUGUUCAAGCGCUUUCGCUUUCAGAGUCGAACUGGAGAGAGCGCGCAUCUCCGUUGUCCGGCUGGGCUUCUGGCGGCGUCAGCACCGCUGUGGUUGCCCUCCUCCGCGGGGUGUACGGUGUCAGCAAAGGGAUUCUUUCUGGUUGACCCUUGGCACGGGUGGUUUGCAGCCAAAUGCGAGUGUGAAGGGCAGGUUUUGAUCUCCGUUACUCCCUUCAGCUUUGUCGAAGGCGCGUAAGAAAGCAGAAUGGACCCCUGAUUCUGGCUCCACCGUGUUUUUAUUUCGGGUAGAACCGCAGGGACCCUGGCAGGCAGGGAGCUUGCAGCACCGGCAUUUCGGCAACGUUGGGAAGAAAACCGCGUUUACCCGAAGCCGGAGUUUGAGGAACAGCCACCCCACUUUCCCGCCCAGGCUGUGCUGUGCUGUUGACCCAACACGACAUGCAGAUCCCUCUGUCGCCCGCCGGACACUGGCCAGGCGGCCUUGGUCUGUGGAGGAGAAUCACUCAGUGCGUGAAGCCAGCUCAGCCCUGGAACCUCAGCGCAACAAAAAGCCUCUGUUCGCCUUGCGCCGGGCUUCGCGCAGAGGGUCCCGGCCCUGCCCCACCGCGGUGGCUGCCUCGAAGAUGCGCCUGGAGAGCCAGCCCUUUAAUUAGCCCGAGCUGUUGGGACGGUGCCUGGAAGGAAGAAGAGGGUUCCCUGACCCUGGGGGACGAGCGUGCCCAGGGUCCGCCCGGAAGGUAGACGACACAGCCAGGGGGCCCGGGGCCGCUCUUCCCCUCCCCCAGGUGAGACGGCAGGGCAGCAGGACGCAGUCACAGGAAUGCCCCUCCGCGCAGGGCCACAGGGGCAUGCGGUGGGCUUAUUUGUAUAACCUGCCUGGCGGGAACCUGAGGCCGGCUGGGUGGCGGCUGGUUCUUGGCGGUCUUGCCAGCCAUCGUGCCGUCUUUCUAAGCUGUCUUGGCUUUCAGUCCAAGCAGCACAGUUCCUGGGAGGUGACAGGGCUGCCUCUCAGGGGCGGAAGCUCUGGGCUGUUUUCAGAAUCAGCGGAGCAGAAAGAGAAGCCUGCGCUACCUGCUUCUGUCCUGGGUCGCGUCCCGAGUGCCCCCCCAUCCCCCGACUCCAUCUCAGGUUUCACGUUGUUCCCUUUACACUUUGCCGCCUCUCUGAGCCUCUUUGGCGCCUGCGUGGUUUUCAGAGGUUCCUAACUGAGCACAAAUGCCAGGCGGGUGUUCUGGAGGCAGGUGGGUGCAUUUUGAACGUAGCCUUGUGGGGUCAGGUGGGUGGGGGAGGAGGAUGGAGGUCGCGGAGGAGGUGACAGUCGCACCUUCCACGGCCAAACCCAAGUUCUGCGCACCCAGCGCGGGGGUGCGGGCGUGGGCAGGUGGAUCCCCGCGUGUCCUCAGCGGACGGAGGCCAGGCGCUCGCCUCCCCGCAUCCUCUCCUGUGGAGAGACCAGCCUGGUCCCCCCUCCCCGACCAAUUUUAACCUUUGCCAAUUUUAACCCAGGUGUUCAAGGCUGCAGGAAACACACAUUCUUCCGCGCUCCCCCCGGGGACGACCCCCGGGGCCUGGUCAGAACCCCCGUGCGGCUCAGGCCACUGAGCUUCUUUGUCAUGGGCUAGGCGUGUCUGGACUGCUGCGCCGGGAGCACGCUGUCGCCCGCUCUCUGCCUUUUGAACAGUCUCCGACGGUCUUGUCCACACACUGCGGGAGGGAGUGGCCGGCAGCGUCUCGGGACCCCAGCGGCAUCCCUCCUCUGGCCACCAGAGUGGACGUGUCCGCUGGGCUGGGUGGAGGGCCUGGGAGGCCAUGGCAGUGCCCUGUCCUCCAGGUGUCCAGGCCCCACCUCUGCUGGAUUUGGCUCCGAGUCGUUCCUGACCCGGCCGCUCAGGGUGCUGUGUGCUGCGCUAAUAUUUACUGAGCCGGGACCCGAGGUUCCUCCUGGAAGCAGCUCUGUGGUGUCUCCCUGCGGAAAAAUGUGUGAGCCGGGCCCUCGCCCCCCCGCUGCCCCCGUACACACGUCGGGCUUUGGUGUCCACAGGGGUCGCCUGCUCCCACGGUGACUUGCCGGCCCUUCUUGGCCUUCCCACAGUUGCCAGUUUGAGACUGUGCUUGCGAGAGCCCAGGGCUUCUUACUGUGGGAGGGAGGCCGGAGCCCAUUGGAGCAGAAGGACGAGCUGCCGGUAGAGACCUGGCAGGCCUGUGUUACUGCGGACGGCGGGGUGGCAAAGGUGGGGCCGUGGUCAGCCCGUGGUCAGCCCGUGGUCAGCGGGUCCAGGCGCGGCUGCCCCCUCGCUCCGUGCCUCAGUGCCGUGAGCCUCAGGGUCGCAUCGCUGCAAGGACACGGUCCAGGUCUGAGGGGCUCGGACCUCUGUCCCCCUACGUGUCAGGAAGGGUAGACGCGGCAGAGACAGCGGGCUCGCAAGCCCCACAGCUCGGGGGGGCCGGCCCUGUACAGGACUCUGUGGCCUUGGCUGGGGACCACGGGGGACAAGCUGGGUCCUGGCUAGUAGCAGGUGGCUGACCCCCCAGAGAUGGCCAGAGGGAGGACCGGGGCUCUUGAACAGGAGAGGGAGCGUCUGGGUGAGAGCGGGUGCAGGCGGGGACAGCCCUCGGUGCUGCAGCUCUGUGACACCCAGAGCACGUGUGUCCACAGCCAGACUGCAUGCAGCCAUGGAGCCUCUGCGCCCCCAUCCACCUCGAGCAAGGUCCCCAUCUCCUGGGACCCCGCCAGGGCACCUGUCCUCUUGGAGCUGGGAGGCAGCGCCAAGCUCUCUACUGGGGUUGGUCGUUCCUGGACCAAGUGUCCAGAAUCAGAGCUUCAUAGCUCCUUUCCUGGUGGUGGUCGGGGAGGGGGGCAGUGUGAUGAGUCAGCUCAGCCCCGGAGGGUCGGUGGGGUCAGUGGGGCUUGGGGGAGGGGAUGUGGCGCCAUCCCUUCCCCUUGAGCAGCAAACGGGAAGUUCUCGUUCUCAGCGUCAGCUGACUCCUGGGAACAAGCAGCUCGGGCCACGUGCUGCUGACCAGGGCCAGGAUGUGGGCGCGGCCACACUGUGCGGAGGGUGGCUGGGGCUCGUGGCCUUGUGCCCUCCCCACUCCAGACCUGCCCCUGCAGGGACACUGCACCUUCAGCUGCUGGACCCGUUUCUCUUGGCAGGCAGCGCCCCACUCCGUGUCCGAGGGCCCCGGGAGCCCUGCCCAGACCCAGGCGGUCCUGCCUGCUUCAAGAACCUCUCCAAGACCCUGGGCUUCGGGAUGGGGCUGCACUGAGCGGGGCUUUGGAGGACUCGGGUGGGCCCUGAGCUGCUAUCUGGGGGCCCUGCCGGAGGGGGUGGAGGGAGUGGGCCUGUGCUAAGGGAGCCCCAAGACCUGCCUGUGACACCCCCUUCCAACCCCGUAAGGGGGACGGUCUGCCCCCAAACUUCAAGAGAAUCUGGACCACGGAUCUUUCUGCUGUUGGCUCCCGAGCUUCUGUCUUCCUCGACCGGACCACUUACGCAGGGCCCCAGACGGCAGCUCAGGGCCCACCCGGUUCACCCAAAGCCCCGCUCAGUGCAGCCCCAUCCUGCCACCCCUUGAAGCCUCUGGGACAGGGGCCACAGAGCUUGGAGCAGUCGGAAGUUUCCAGGCCAGGGAUUGAAGCCGAGCCACGGCAGUGGUAACACCAGAUCCUUAACCAGCGUUUUGUCUUCCACGUGAAACCCGAGUGGUACCUCGCUUUCCUUGUUAUUUUAACCAGGAGCUUCAGCUACGUGAAAUAAAAUUUGUAUUUUCUGGCAAGACGAGAAAAAAAAAUUCCAACAUAGCAUUUGUCUCUGCCCGUUGGCCCCCUGCCUGCCCCCCACUGGGACUGUGCGUCUGCAUUUACGCAUCGGCCAGACCUCCCCCGGCAGCAGGAACACCUGCUCAGCUUCUCCGGCACCGGUACCGACAGGACGGCUCCUGAAAGGUAACCUUCCUUCCUUUCAAGGUCAUGAUGACCCAGCACCUUGAACUUGCAGGUGGGGCUUGGGCAGAUGGUCCGUGUCAUUUACGGCACAGCCUCCGCCACAGAAACCUACACGGCUCUGCCUGGACCUCUAGUGGGAGCGACAGUUCUCAAAACUUUCUGAGAGGCUGUUCCUGGGUUGUGAUCCUCAAUUCGGCUCAAAUAAAAUUUUCCGCUUCUUUCUUA